rnacentral:rRNA from 1 species
CUACGGGUUGCACCAGUGAGGAAUAUUGCACAAUGGAGGAAACUCUGAUGCAGCAACGCCGCGUGGAGGAUGACGCAUUUCGGUGUGUAAACUCCUUUUAUAUGUCAAGAAAAUGACGGUAGCAUAUGAAUAAGCUCCGGCUAACUCCGUGCCAGCAGCCGCGGUAAUACGGAGGGAGCAAGCGUUACUCGGAAUCACUGGGCGUAAAGGACGCGUAGGCGGGAUAGAAAGUCAGGUGUGAAAUCCUAUGGCUCAACCAUAGAACUGCACUUGAAACUUCUAACCUAGAGUAUGGGAGGGGAAGAUGGAAUUAGUGGUGUAGGGGUAAAAUCCGUAGAUAUCACUAGGAAUACCAAAAGCGAAGGCGAUCUUCUGGAACAAUACUGACGCUAAGGCGUGAAAGCGUGGGGAGCAAACAGGAUUAGAUACCCCGGUAGUC